AGUGAACGCUGGCGGUAGGCCUAACACAUGCCAGUCGAACGGCAGCACAGUAAGAGCUUGCUCUUACGGGUGGCGAGUGGCGGACGGGUGAGGAAUACAUCGGAAUCUACUUUUUCGUGGGGGAUAACGUAGGGAAACUUACGCUAAUACCGCAUACGACCUACGGGUGAAAGCAGGGGAUCUUCGGACCUUGCGCGAUUGAAUGAGCCGAUGUCGGAUUAGCUAGUUGGCGGGGUAAAGGCCCACCAAGGCGACGAUCCGUAGCUGGUCUGAGAGGAUGAUCAGCCACACUGGAACUGAGACACGGUCCAGACUCCUACGGGAGGCAGCAGUGGGGAAUAUUGGACAAUGGGCGCAAGCCUGAUCCAGCCAUACCGCAUGGGUGAAGAAGGCCUUCGGGUUGUAAAGCCCUCUUGUUGGGAAAGAAAAGCAGCAGGUUAAUACCCCGCUGUUCUGACGGUACCCAAAGAAUAAGCACCGGCUAACUUCGUG
rnacentral:rRNA from 1 species